UACGUAGGCAGCGAGCGUUGUUCGGAUUUACUGGGCGUAAAGGGUGUGUAGGCGGUUGUUUAAGUUUGGUGUGAAAUCUCCCGGCUCAACUGGGAGGGUGCGCCGAAUACUGAAUGACUAGAGUGCGGGAGAGGAAAGUGGAAUUCCUGGUGUAGCGGUGAAAUGCUUAGAUAUCAGGAGGAACACCGGUGGUGUAGACGGCUUUCUGGACCGUAACUGACGCUGAGACACGAAAGCGUGGGUAGCAAACAGG
rnacentral:rRNA from 1 species